rnacentral:rRNA from 1 species
AUGGAUAGGAGUAUCUGGAGAAAUGCAGGCCCCUGGAUGGCUGAUCCUUCAGUGGUGCUACCGCCCGUGGUAUUUCCUCUCUCGGGCCCUCCGGUGUGCGCUACCUUGGGGGAUCCGUCUCGUCCGGGGUGCCUGCGCUCCGUCUAUGACCAAGCAACGGCCGCCACUUACAUCGAGCUAAGCUACGUCGUCCUCCGCGCCACCACCCCAGCCGAGAAGUUCUACCUGGAGCCGUCCAAGAAACACGACGGGCUCCUGCACGUCAGAUGCUCCGACGGCGACAAAUACUGGGUCGCCCAGCAGCUACGCGCGCCCGGCGGCGGCGGCAGUACCUGGUUCAUCUGUGCCACCGCAGAUGAACCGGAGGAGGACCUGACCAAGCCGUCCUGCACCUUGUUCGACUUCAGGCCUGACUCUACCACCAAACGCACCGCCAGGUUCUUUCAUUCCCAGCAAAAGAAGUAUGCUUGCAUGCUUUCUGUGUCUGGUCCAGGCAAAGCCUACUUGCAACUAAGAGAUAACCUAGAAGCUGAUAGUUCUAAUAUGAGUCUCUUCAGUGUUCGUCGCUUGUCACACGACAAGGAACUGCCCAAGUAUGUUGUCUUCAAAGGCGACAAUGGCAAGUACCUCACAGCACACGAAACAUCAGUUGAUAUCUUUCUGGUGUUUUCAUCGUCUGAUAUUGCAGAUCCAACUGUGAUCCAAGAGACCUAUACCGACGAGUAUGGCGUCGUCUAUAUAAAACAAGUUGCCUCAAAAGUGUAUUGGAGGCGUGGCCUUGAAGGUGGCCAUGCUGUAAAUUGGAUGAUGGCCGACAUAGGCAGCAGGGACUACGGAAUGGUUGACUGUUUGUUCAAGGUGGUCAUCAAGGAUGACAACUACAUUGCAGUCCUAUCCCAUGGCAACGGCAAAUUUUGCAGGAGGGUAACCAUCGACGACAAGAUAGAUUACUUCCAUGCUUCUUCCGACGAUGGCAAUACGAAAGAAGCAACGUUCCAGAUUGAAGAACCGGUCCGUUCUCGAGAAAUCUAUGAUGUCGAGUACCGCGUUGGGGGAAAGAAGACCAGCACCAACAAAAAUGUCUCCAGGACCCUUGUGCUUGCUACCAACAGAACACAUGAAACCCACAACGCCCAAACCACCAUCGAACUGUAUGACAGAAUAGAGAGUACCUGGGAUGCCAAGUUAACACUCGACGUAGGUAUCAAGGCCAAGUUGUCAGCCGGCUUGCCAUUCCUGAUGGAAGGCGAUGUUGAAAGUCAUCUUGACUUUCAUGGAGAGUAUAAUUGGGGUGAAACCAAGAUACAAGAAACUAAGCGCUCCAUAGAAUACUCAUAUCCUGUGCCUCCCAUGACUAAGGUGACAUGCAGCAUAUUUUCAAGAGAGGACGUCGUUGAUGUUCCCUUCUCGUACAUGCAGAAGGAUGUUCUGCUCAGUGGGGAAGUAGUUCCCCCUCGCCAGUUGCAUGAUGGCGUCUAUCGGGGUGCCAAGUCCACUGAUGUCGACAUCGACACCAGCGAAGAAAAGAUCACAUAA